CCUACGGGUGGCAGCAGUCGAGAAUCAUUCACAAUGGGGGAAACCCUGAUGGUGCGACGCCGCGUGGGGGAAUGAAGGUCUUCGGAUUGUAAACCCCUGUCAUGUGGGAGCAAAUUAAAAAGAUAGUACCACAAGAGGAAGAGACGGCUAACUCUGUGCCACCAGCCGCGGUAAUACAGAGGUCUCAAGCGUUGUUCGGAAUCACUGGGCGUAAGGGGUGGGUAGGCUGUUUCGUAAGUCGUGUGUGAAAGGCGCGGGCUCAACCCGCGGACGGCACAUGAUACUGCGAGACUAGAGUAAUGGAGGGGGAACCGGAAUUCUCGGUGUAGCAGUGAAAUGCGUAGAUAUCGAGAGGAACACUCGUGGCGAAGGCGGGUUCCUGGACAUUAACUGACGCUGAGGCACGAAGGCCAGGGGAGCGAAAGGGAUUAGAUACCCUAGUAGUC
rnacentral:rRNA from 1 species